GUGAGGAAUAUUGGUCAAUGGGCGGGAGCCUGAACCAGCCAAGUCGCGUGAAGGAAGAAGGAUCUAUGGUUCGUAAACUUCUUUUGCAGGGGAAUAAAGUGCAGGACGUGUCCUGUUUUGUAUGUACCCUGAGAAUAAGGAUCGGCUAACUCCGUGCCAGCAGCCGCGGUAAUACGGAGGAUCCGAGCGUUAUCCGGAUUUAUUGGGUUUAAAGGGUGCGUAGGUGGUUUGAUAAGUCAGCGGUGAAAGUUUGCAGCUUAACUGUAAAAAUGCCGUUGAAGCUGUCGGACUGGAGUGUAAAUGAGGUAGGCGGAAUGCGGGGUGUAGCGGUGAAAUGCAUAGAUAUCACGCAGAACUCCGAUUGCGAAGGCAGCUUGCCAAGCCACAACUGACACUGAAGCACGAAAGCGUGGGGAUCAAACAGGAUUAGAUACCCGAGUAGUCC
rnacentral:rRNA from 1 species